UCAUCCUCAUCAUCAUCGUCC
rnacentral:miRNA from 1 species